ensembl:lncRNA
CUUUUUCCUUUUUUUUUUUUACUUAAAGGGAUAUUUUACCCAAAAAUGAAAAUUCUGUCAUUAUUUACUCAACCUCAUAUCAUUCCAAAUACCCAUAAGACUUUUACUUAUCUUCAAAACACAAAUGAAGAUUUUUAAGGAAACCUAAAAGUUUCUCUAUUAAAAGUCAAUUCCAAUAAACCUUCAAGUUCAUGUGGUUUAGAGAUGUAGAAAUCUCACAGAGGAAGCAAUAAAGUUAAUUUCUACAUCUAAAAUAUAGAAAAUAAGCAGAAAAAUGUAACAUAUCCCAUUGCAUGUAUACCCAUCUAUUUGUGAUGACCUAAAAAAGCUGUCAUUACCUGCCUAUAUUCUAUGUGUGUGUGAUCUCUCUUGAGUCUGUGCAGGCCAUUAACUGCAUCCUGUGUGGAGAAAAACAAACAGUUACAAACAAGACCUCUCCACAGCAUCACUCAGCGGGUCACUGGAUAGAUCCUGUUACCUGGUGAGACGGUCAGGACCAUCACGGCAUUCAGUGCAUUCAGGUGGCAUGGGAGCUCAGCGGGUAAUGAAUUCAGCAGAAGCUCUGACCUUGGAAUAAACCAGCCAUGCUAGCCAUAGGAAAUGUGACUGUGGAAAUGGUCUAAAGUAAACUGCCACAAGCUGCCUUUAUUAAACAAAGUCUGUUCACUGUGUGAUUUCAAUCUCUUGGCCUGACAGGAUGAUGUGAGACAAUCAUCAGCCCAAGCGGUCCAUCCAUGCAAACACUGAAACAAAAAGAUCCCUGCUGAGAUCUGUUUAGUCAGCAGGACAUUUGCCUUGUGACUUUCAUCAUUCCUGACUGAAUUCUACAUUUACACAUUACAUUUAUUUAGCUGACAGAAAUGCAUCUCAAUAUCUUGGUUAGUGGGGCUCACGGAGAGUUUAUCAACAUAUAAAAAAAAACUUCUUUAUAUGAAAUAGUUUUUACGUCAUUUACAUAAACCCUAAAACACAACAUAAUUAAGUGCAAAAUUUAAGAUACAGGUAAAACACCUGUAAAAAAAUAACCAUAUGAAAAAUUCCUUCAUAUUCAUACAGUAAAUUGUACUCUAUGUUUACAAGCUUGGUUUAUUUGUUUUUUUGUUUUCAACAGUGUAC